ensembl:lncRNA
AUAUAUAUAACCAGAAGCUGUUUUUCUCAAAUGUUUUUUUUUCCCUGAAGCAUAUACCCCAGGUGGCUCUACUUUGUUUCAGUGUGAAGACUACCUGUGAUAAAAUGAGCUGCUACACCCACAUUCCUGUUAUUAUGUAACUUUUUUUUUCCCCCUCAAGUAGAUCCUCCUUUUCUACCCUUUAUGUUCCAUUUGGAUUAGUAGUUAGUAUUUAAAUAUCUGCCUGCCAUUUGUUUGUUUCUUGACAGGGAUCCUGGGAAGCAGGUUUUAGAGUACCUAGCUGUUAUCAGAUGAGAGGUGCUGAUGACUGGGGUGAUAAAAACAGAUUGAAGAUGAACAGCUCAGCAACAUGCAAGAGGUGUAAAUGCUUCGGCUGGGAGCUUUAGAACAAAACAGAUGGUUGUAGGGACUGAAGAAAUAGGGAUGCUACAGUUCAUGGAGCUUAGUUUAGAAGGUGCUUUGAGGCAUAGUCAAGGAUAGCAGAUCAGAAAAAAAAAGCAGGAUUAAAGAAGCUGGUGAACAGAAAAGUGAGAGGGCAGCAAGGAAGACUGGGAGUGUGAAACAGGUUUUAUGGGGUCAGUAAUGAGCUUAGGUUUAGGUGGUUUAGAAAAUGAAGUUUCAAGGAUGAUGAGUUGUGUAUGGGAGGAACAUAAAGACAUAAAGGUGGUUGAGGCUGGAUAUUCAGGCUGGGAAAUGUUGGGAGGUUCUGAAGAAGGAGCAGUGGGGAUGUUUGAUGUCUUGGACUCCUUAGGACAUAAGAAGAUGGAAAUAGAGCCUGACAGGCAAGAGAAAUGGGACUGGGCUCUGGCAUGUUUUAGCUGGCAGUAUAUGAGUGUAACAUACUCUAUAGUAUGCUAGCUAAACUACAUUUAUAUUGUAUGUAUUCAGCAACUGAAAUAAGGAGAGCUAGCAAAAAUCCCUCAUAUAGUCGGAUAGACCUUCUUUCCCUAAUUCAUCCAUAGACAAUCCAAGGAAAUUAUAGAAGUUCAUCUCAGUUUCACUGCAAAUAAUGUUUCAGGCAAACGUGCUCCAAUAGCGCAUUCAGAUAAAUCCUUACAGGAAAAAAAAAAGAAAAAACUUAGCCUUUGGAACAGAAAAAUACAUUUUACAGAUGUGCUGCGUUGAAGUUACUAUGUUCUCUGACCAGGUUACCAUUCAGUCUCCUAUGGAGAUGCUAGCUACUAGCCAAUGUCAUUAACUAAGAGGAUACUGUCAAUUACUCUAAAGCCUGCCUAACUUGCAGCAAAUUUCACUGGUUUUUAGGAGAGCACUGUUGCUUAGAGAAGAAUGAUUUGCAGUUAAGUUCAUUACCAUUUGUCUCCCCAAAGACUGCAAGCCUGUCUCUGUGUGAAAUUUAGUGUUGUCUCUCUGGAGCCUGUAACCCAGUUUCUGAACUCUUGUUGUUGGGAGAGAACUGCUGAGGUAAAUACUCUGGUGAGUAUGCAGGUGAACACAUUGUCUCACUGCUUGCACUCAGCCUAUAACCAGUGUGGCUUCUCUUUUUUGCUUAAUUUGUAGUUUGUUCACCUCAGGUUUGUUUACUCCUAGCAAGUACGCUUAUUACUUGUUAGUUCUUCGCUUAUGGUUUGUUUGCAUUUAUCUUACAAUAGGUUUGCUGGCAAAUUAUACCCAAUUAGUAAUCCUCACAUAAUUAACUGAUAAUUAACUGAUUUGCUAACACCUUGCUUGCUACCUGCUUACAGAAUUUGACAGACAAGAAUAUUUUUAUAUUAUGCAGGUCCCGAUGAUGAGGAGAGGAGCUUUAUGCAAGUUCAAAAUGUACAUGACUCUGGACCUUAUUUGGCUGAGUUAUGGAGUAACCUGCCAUGUUUCUGGAAUAAAGAAAUAGGUUGUAUGUUUUAAGUGGGGAGAAAAUGAAUAAUUCAACAACAAGGGUCGAAUUGUCCUGCCAAGAAAAACCUACUGGAGAGGAAGUACACAGAGUUAUAAUUAUUUGCAUUGUAGAUAAUAAUAUCAAUUAUAGUUUCCAGCUGGAAUCAAGUUUCUAUACUUCUGGCUUCUGUACAAUCACAGGGUAACAGUGUUUCAGUCACAACAAGUUUGAGCCAAAUAAAGACAAAGCUCAAUUAGUGAAACAACAUAAAUUGGCAGAAGCCUGGGGUUGGACAAUUACAGGCUGCUGUUUGGAUAUAGUUACAUAUGGCAGUUUGGUGACAAUCAGCAGCACUAAUCAGCAUUUAUAGUUGAUGUCAUUUUGCAAACAAAGAGUUUUAACCUAUUGUAAAAGCCAGUUCUAAGACAAUCUAUUCUUACACCAAAUGGGAAAUAUCUGCCUAGGAUGAAGUUCAAAAGUAUAAGUGAAAUUGCUAUCUGAUUACCUUCUUAUAAAUUGUGGUAUCGAGUCCUUCCAGGAGCCUCAACUUCUGGAAUUAGAGCUGGUUUCUUAAGGGGUGGUAGCUCUGCCAUUUCCCCUGGGGGAACUACCUGCACCCACUGGCAGGAGGGCUGGGGCAGCCAGGUGCAUAUGGGUGGGAGUAGCCUUUAGCUGCUCUCCAGGAGAGAUUGAGGACUGGGCUGGUCUGGGGCAUGGGCACAAGCUAGCAAAAAUCCCAUGCUUGAUGCCUACUGGGAAACCUUGCCUGGCAUGGAGCCCUGAACAUCAGGCUGGCACUGCUGAGUAUUAAGGUGAAUAUCCCUCCAAACCUUUUCUGAAAGAGGGAGUAGCAAUCCUGGCUUUUUGAGAGUUUUCUCCUAGUUUCUUUCUCCUAGUUUUCCUUAGUUCCCUGUGUCUUUCCCCAUGCUUUUUCUCUUCCUGUAGAAGUACCUUUGGUUCCUCCCACCUUUGAGUUGCAAAAUUCAGUUUUGUCUAAGCUUCUGAAAAGUGUUGUGCUGCUUCUGUCCCAGAUGGACUAACUUUUCCAUGGGACUGAGUGGUGAGGCCCUCACAAAAUCUAGAGGCACAGAUCCAACUGAAAACCACCACCCCCUUUUCAUCAGUGAAGAUACUGAAGCAAGGACAUCAACCUGUUUGUGAGGGAUAUCAAGUAUUCAUGCAUGUCACUGAUCUCCACAGAGAUGGUAAAUGCCUUCGCCCACCUUGUACAACCAAUUUGAAAGAGUAUAUGUAAUUCAAAUGGCUCUGAUUGUCUCACCAAUCUGCAUGGUUUAUUAAUAACUGUUCUCAGAUCCUAAGAAAACACAAGUAUGUGUCACUCAGUAGUGGAACAGAUGAAGGCAAAAUGGAGAGGGGGGAAAAAAAGAAGUGACAGUACAUACAACUGUGGUCAGCUCUCUGGAGUAGUUGUCUUUAUCUUAGGAAGACUGUUUGUUUGUUUGUUUUCCUGAGGCAACAUCCACAAAUUCUUACAGGUGGCAGCAGCGAAGCCAGCCAGGGGCUUGCCUUCCUCUUGUGUUACUUGACUCUGCUGGUAGUCAUAGCAUUGCCUCACUGGAUACUGAUUCCUCUUCAUGUACCCUGUGUUGAUGAUAUGUGCAAAAUCUUCUGACACUGUCCCCCCCAACAUUCUCAUGGAGAAGCUGGCUGCCCAUGGUUUGAAUGGCCAUACACUCUGCUCGGUGAAAUCCUGGCUGGAUGGCCAGGCCCAAGUAGUUGUGGUCAAUGGAGUUAAAUCCAGUUGGCGGCUGGUCAUGAGCGGUGUCCCCCAGGGCUUGGUACUGGAGCCACUUCUAUUUAACAUCUUCAUUAAUGAUCUUGAUGAGGGGAUUGAGUGCAUCCUCAGUAAGUUUGCAGAUGAUGCCAAGUUGGGAGGGAGUGUUGAUCUGCCUGUUGGGAGAAAGACACUACAGAGGGACCUGGAUAGACAGAUCAAUUGGCCAAGGUUAACUGUAUGAGUUUCCACAGGGCUAAGUGUCGGGUCCUGUAUUUUGGUCACAACAACCCCAGGCAACCCUACAGGCUUGGGGAGGAGCGGCUGGAAAGCUGCCUGAUGGAAAGGGACCUUGACAUACUGAUGGACAGUCGUCUGAAUAUGAGCCAGCAGUGUGCCCAGGUGGCCAAGAAGGCCAAUGGCAUCCUGGCUGGUAUCAGGAAUGGUGUGGUGAGCAGGACUAGGAAAGUAAUCUUGCCCCUGUACUCGGCAUUGGUGAGGCCUUACCUUGAGUACUGUGUUCAGUUUUGGGCACCUCAGUACAGAAAGGAAUGGAGGUGCUGGAGCAGGUCCAAAGAAGGGCAACAAGGCUUGUGAAGGGCUUGGAGAAAGUGCCCUACGAGGAGAGACUGAAGGAACUGGGGCUGUUUAGUCUGUGGAAAAGGAGGCUGAGGGGAGACCUCAUUGCUCUCUUCCAAUACCUGAAAGAUGAUUGCUGUGAAAGUGGGGUUGGUCUGUUCUCACUGGUGACAGGUGAGAGGACAAGGGUUAAUGGCUUUAAGUUGCACCAGGGUAAAGGUUAGGUUGGAUAUUAGGACAUACUUCUUUACAGAAAUGGUUGUUAAGCACUGGAAUAGAUUCCCCAGGGAGGUGGUUGAGUCACCAUCCCUGAAGGUGUUUAAAAACCGUUUGGAUGUGGUGCUCAGGGACAUGAUUUAGUGGAGGGUUGUUAGUUAAGGUAGUAUGGUUAGGUUGUGGUUGGACUCAAUGAUCUUUAAGGUCUUUUCCAACCUGAGUGUUUCUAUGAUUCUUUUCUAGGACAGUGUUUCAUAAUGGGCUGCUAUUUUAAUAACUGAGUGUCAGGUGGAUAGAAACACCUUAUGUUUUCCUUUUCCCGCUGGUAGGAGAAGACACAACCUUCUCUUCCACUUCCUACCCUUUAGGAAGAAGAAACACCUACUUCUUCUGCUACCUAAAAGACACAGCGAGAGGCCCCUCCUUAUGUUAGCUAGUGCAGUUCUGGUCAUCCCAACAGUUGGAUGACCUAUUUUUGUAUCCCAUUAAUGCACCCUCUGGGGAGACUGGUGAUCUGACUACCUUGCUCCUCUCAGGGGAAUCAUUCAUGCUCCCACUUUCAGAUUGGAUCUCAAGACUUGGACUGAAGUGUUUACUGGCAGGGUUAACUCAACAGGACUGACAGGAUUUGGUGCAUACACACCCUUUAUCCCUGUUGUGACAGCAGUUAAUUAAAGUGACUCAGAAAACAUCUUCUCCAAAAUGAAGUCAUGUUUAUUUGCCAAAGGAGCAUCCGCAGAAGUGCUCAGAACACCCAAGAGCCUUGUAGCUUCCCUUGACCUGCUUGUAGGUCUGGCUCUGCCCUAGCUGGGUAGGGAGGCUAUCUGCUGUGCUACCUGUCUGUCAAAAGCUCCUCUCUCCUCUGCUGGUGUUUGCCAAGACAGCACCUUUAAUCUCCAAACUUCUCCUUAACCUUAAGAAGUAGAAGCACUGACUGCCUGAGAGGAGCGGGCCUCUUUUUUCUGGGGAUGCUCACAUAGCUUCUUACUCAAUUCCCAUUGACAGUUUGAUUGCAUUGUCAUUUCUGGUGCUCAGCAAGAAGGCAUGGCAGACAAAAUGAGGUAUAAGCAAUAUAUGCCAAAGAGUCUGCAUUUUUCUUAUACAGUUGAGAUAUGGCAGGAAAAAGAGGAUGCUUUUCUUUCUUAAGAGGAUGUGGAAAAGCGUAUUCUAGUGUUAAAAGAACUAUGCAAUCAACAAAAACUCCUGAAAUGAGAUCUUCCAUUUAUGUUCACUUAAAUGCCAUUCAGCCAGAUGGACUCUGUCUCCAUGCAAUCCUUUAGGAAGAUGUGCAAAAGGUCUGUGCAGCUCUGGCAGCACAGCUAUGCAGGGGGAGCUCCCAGUGAGCGAGCGCCAUUUCCCCUCACACAGCACCAAUUCUGGGGGGGCUGCAACAGGCAGAGCCAUGUUGAAUUGCAGUCAUGGCAGAGUGUGGAAGUACUCAGGGCUGUUUGUAAGAUAUCAACCUUCCAUAGUUAUGGUUUCUCUAAAAGAUGUUAACAUUAGUGAUGGAUAUUUGACUGCCAUAGUUUUGUCCAUUUGCAAGCACAGGAACUGAAAAGAAACAUCUACUCCAUGAUUAGGAAAAUAGGGUCCCAUCCCUAAUUGCUGUGCAAAUAAAACUAAUUGUAGUACAAAAAAGGCAGUGCCCAAAAGAAAACAUACAAUUUCCUGUAUGAUUUCUUUUCCACGUGAAGAAAUUAGGACUGAAACUUAAUGUGGUUAUUGCUGAAACUGCUUUGAUGAUUGGAACUUCCGCCCAUGGCAAUGCAAGCAGGUCAGAGGCUGACUUAAAAUAAACAUUCCUGAGCUGAAGAAAAGGAAGACUAAUUAUCUUCUGCUUGCAGUGCUUGUGUAAUCCUGUGAGGCAUGGGGACAGAAAUCUGGAGAACCAAAAAUAUAGAAAUAUUUCUGGAUUUUAUUAAUGGAAGCAUUAAAAUUUACAUUUUCUGCCCUUUUUAUUUGGUGUGAUGACUGCAUGCAAUGCAUGAAGGAAGAUCAGAAUAAAUAGCUAGACAAAGAUAUCUCAGUUCACUGUAGAAGAGACACUACAGGCAAAUAGUAUGGCACCGGUGAUGCUGCAUUUGAAUUCCCAAGACUAAUCUUACAUUACUUCAUGCUGAAGAAAUAAUACAUUAUUAUAGAUGUGUUUUCUUUAUCCUCCUAAACUUAUUUCUUACGUAGUUGGCUCAUAAGUGCGUGGAAGGAAUGCUUUACCCAUAUUAAAAAUAUUACCUUACUUAUUAAAACUUGUUAGUUUUCAUAAUUUCCCUUUUCAAUUAUCUUUUAUUUUUUAUUUCUUAUAACUGUUCUUGGCAUAUUUUCAUUGCUUACACUUUUUUUUUUUGGUUUUUAACUCCUAAUGACAGGUUGCAAAAACAAUCAGGCUUUUUAUAUUCCAGUAGCUAAUAAAUGCAGUUCAUUUACCUCCUUUCUAUUUUUACUUUAAUUUCAUUGCCUUCAGUUUAGGGCACAGAGUAUACAACAGCUUUCAUUUGAGUAUCUUGGGCAUUUUUGUGUACUUUAUAUAGCUAUUAGUUCUGUACACAUGCUAUUAAAAAACUUAAAAUUCCUUUUGUCACUCACAGUCACCACUCUCCUCAAGGUAUGGUAUUGGGGUACUCUUUGCAUCAUGACUUUUUUUUUUCCUCAUACUUUCAUUGGAUGUCUGAAAAUCCGUACUUUCUUGAGGGUGUUAGGGGAUGUUCCGGAUCUCCUCAAGCCCUUUUGGAAACUAAGGCUUUUUGGGGAGAUGGUGCCACUGAGAACAGAAAAGUUUAAAAUGAGGAAUAAAAAUGUAAGAAUAACGAUUUUUGGCUAAGAAGAGGUUGUAUACGUUUAUUUGUAGACAGCAGCUACUCUGUGUUAAGGUUACAGUGUCUGAUUGGAACCUCUCAGGAUCCUUUGGACUUGAGGAAAAGGGAGGGUGUUGCAGGACUAUAGUCUUGUUUCAGCCUCAGUUUGUGAAGCAAGGCUUAGAGGUGUUAGUUUCUUUGAAAUGAAAUUUUUAGGUGUUGGAAUAGGAUGUGUUAAUGUAUUUUUUUGUGGUUUGCUUUACCCAACUAAAAUGUCACUGAAAUUUGAACCCUGACGUAGUGCUCCUGAAUAUUAGCUCUUAGUUCUCUACUUCUGAAGAAACAUCUUCUCACACUGUGGAGUUUUUGUUUGCUUUGGUUGUUGGGCUUUGUAGUUCAGGAUUCUUUUUGUCAUUAUAAAUCCCUUAUGAAGUGACCUGCAUCCUUGCAUCCCUACUUCUGAGCAGCUCUACAAGUAUUCAUUGCCCAAACAUUAUCUGUAGAUGCAUAGCAAAGAUAUUUUGAUUUCAGCCCUUUGGACUGAGUUGCUUCUGCACAGUUCUGCUCAGACGUAGAGGCUCCAUGCUUAGACAAGAGAAACUCAAGGUAUAAGAUGGAGACAUGCAGUAGUGAGUGGAGCUUUUUGUAAAUGUUAUUCCCCCUUAUUAGUAAUGAGAUAUACUCGGUGUAUGUGUGUGAGAAUGAGCAUGUAUGUUCAUACGUCUACAUACAUUUACACAUUAUAAACUAUUUAUAUGUUAAAUAAUUUUUGUCUUGCUACAGUGUGAAAUUCCAAAUGAGAACAAUACAGCUUCUAUUUUUGCAGGAUUUAUUGCUACUACGAAACUGCUAAUAGUGAUUGGAGGAAGACGCUGUUUUCCUACUUUUCACAGAUGUCCUUUACAGCCUGCAGUGUAUUAAAGUUGUUAUGGUUGUGACUAUGGUCCCAUAGUUAAAUUAUGUACUUAUUCACUUAAUAUUAAUUUACAAGACAGACAGUAAGAGACUUUAAAAGAUUUCUUUCCCUCCUUGUGUCAGGAAACUUAUCUGUCAAACAUUAACCAAACAAACAAACAAACAAAAUAAUAUAAGAUUAUGUAAUAAUAGACUUGAACAGUUAAUCUGACCAGAUGUCUCUGAUGAAACACACUCUUACUCUUAUGAAUGAAUGUUUUCUGUUUGCCAGAAAGACACUCUAUUGAAAGACAUUCUGGUUCGGUUUGUUGGUUGGUUGUUUUUGUUUUUGUUUCUUUUUGUAAUCCCAUUGUCUGUACAGAAAAAAAGUACUGUGAAAUUAUAUGGGGAAUAUUAUGUAAAUAGUUACGUAGUUUUUUUCUUUGUUGCUACAGAUGUAAGCAAUUUUAAUUAAUUUCUAUAUAGGUGAAGAUAGACUAGUAAGUAGCCAGAAUGUCCCUAGGCAUUACUUAUUCUGUGUGAGAAAGUUGCCAAAAAGCUUGUUAGGUUUAUCGGUCUUUUGAUGAUGACGUGUCAAAGCCAUCAUGUGAAAGCUGUUCUUCAUUGCCUCACAUCUGUUACAAGAAAUAUUACUCUUCUAACAAAUUUAACUUCUAGACUAGGGAUUACGAUGUCAAUAAUAGCUUUUUUUUUAUUAGUUUAUCUGUUUAUUUAUUUAUUUUUAGAAGCUCCCCACCACAAUACCAGUAAAUGUUUUUGUGCUGGUAGUACUGGAAGCAGUAACACAAACCAAGAUCAGAUGUUUUCCAGCACUUGACUUUAAAGACUGCUGAUACAUUGCCUGGACAGGCAGAUCACAUCUUGGAAACUGUUCUUCAUGCCUGUUAAGUAACAGAUUUGUAUGUUGUAAGUAUAUCCAUGUUGUAAUGAUCUUACUCUUACGCUUCAUUAUGAUGUUCUUGGUGAUGGAAUUCAGUGCAUUUUAGAUAUUAAUCUAACAUGGUUAAAAAAGAUUCCUCUGCGAUGAGAUUUUGCAUCUUCCAUUUGUGCUGGCCUGCAUGUCUGUCAUAAGAAUGAUUUCUGAAGCCUCACUUAUGUCACUUGCCAAUGUAUGGAUUUUGACAAGUAUGGGAGGGACUCGGGAGGUAUCAGAAACAUGGCAAUGUACUAACCCCGUUACUGAUUGUGCAGUGUUCUUAAAUUUAUAUUAAUGAGAUUAUUGUAGAUUAUCUUCCCUGUAGAUUAGGGAAACAUCUUCAGGGCGGGGAGAGCAGUUAGGCUGUCUCUGUGAGAUAUGAGUAAAGCUGACUUCCUACAGCUCCAGAUCAGAACAGAGGCUUUUCUGAUCUUCAGGUGCCUAUCAGACCAUAGAGGUAGUAUUUCCAUUUCCAUUAAAACUAUAAUUGUUACUGACAUGCCUGAUUCUUUCUGUCAACGGGUGUAUCAUAGGUAGGAUCUAGCCACACGCCACAGGAGUGUUUGUUCUACUAAUAUUUUGUUUCUAGGUUUAAACACUAAUGGCAAAACAUGUUUAUGUCCUGCUGUCUUUAUAUGAACUUGAAAAUAUAUUACCAAAGGUGUUACAACCUUUAUGAAAUACUCAGAUGUAUCAUUACUACACUUACACCGCCCUUGUCCCUCCCUGCAUUUCAGCUGCACUAGUGAUGGUGGGAAAAACCAUAUGCUGGGAGGACUUAAGUGCUUUUGGCCAUUUGGUGGCUCCAGUUCUUACUCCAGAAGGAGGGAAUAUGGUUUGUGCUUUUGGUAGUGCUUAACUGUACUGACAGGAGAAGUUCAGCUGUAAGCACUUUUGAAUAUAAUUUAAUUUGCAACUUCUUGGCUUACCAUAAAAACAAGUCCAAUUCAGGGAUGGUGGAAUGGACCACCAUCCUCACCCCACAACUUGUGCUGUGCUACAGAGACGUACUGGGGAGCAAAUACUGACAACACUGAAUCCUUCAGGGACCUUGCAUACCCCAGUGAGUCAGACAUGUCUGUGCUGUAGUGAGAUGUGGAGGCAUCAGGCAGUGGGAACUGCCCACUUUGAUAUUCACUGCUGUCCUUCACGUGCUAGUAUCCACAUAAAUAUUUCCCACGGUUGAGAGAGAUAUUAAGACCUGUGGAGAAGAAGAGCAAGACAUUGUGGGAAAAUGUGUCAUGUCACAUACCUUGGCACAUCUGAGGUAAUACUUAUGCCUCAGAUAACAGCAACUAGCACAGGGGAAGUAGGUUGAGUAUGCAAAAUAUUCAUUGUACCCUGAGGUCCUCAAACACUCCUGUGAUUAGAUAUGCCCACUGUUGAAUCAAGGAGGGAUUAGAGAAAAGGUGUAGCUGACACAUCUACAAAAACUAAAUAAAUAAAUAAUAAUAAAAAAAUAGCCUACUGUGUUCAGAAGGAAAUAAGAAUAGCAAACUGAAACUCUUCCAAAAAAGACAGGUGUGUGAAUAAUUCCUGCCAAAGGAAGGUAUAGCGCUGUUUACAUUGCUGCAGUUAAGCAGAACUUCACUUCACCUCCCAGAGCACAAAUAUUGAGAUUUUUAAUGAAAGCAGCUGCAGGAUAUCUAAGAACAAGGAGGGUAUCUUUAGAUCUGAAUAUAUUGGCACAGGCUCUGUUAACCUUGUAAGUCAGGAAGUAAUGAAGUAAUUUAAAUGUUCUGGUUCUCUACUCAACAGCAGAGAUUAGCAAGACAACUGCCUUGGAACGUUUGGUCCAUGUCUAAUUCCCUCUGUGCUUUGCUGGUUUGAGAUAGAUGCAGAUACAUAAUAACUAUUGAGAGUCAAAAUGUCAAAAUAAUUUGGCAAAGCUUGUAUCCUACCUUUCUCCAAAUGGAGUAAAUCUGGAGGUGUAUUUGGUAUUAGCCUCAGUAGAGGCUAAUUGUAACAAGCUGGGUGUUACAAGCUGGAUAAGGGGCCUGGCUAAUCAAGCAUGGGGAAACUUCUUGUAGCAAAACCUCUCAGAAAAGCAGACUCUAGUGCAAGCUGGGGAUUUUUACCUAGUGAAUGCUAAAGGAAAUUGCAUUUGUAAAUGGUCAGAUGAGAUGAAUAUGUGCCGGCAGAAAAAUACAUUUUUAUGUGUCUCUACCUACUAUUUAUUGGGUAUAAUAUCCAAUUCAGUACUACAGGAAACAAUUCAUACAUUAAGAUGCUUGAGAUAAUUACUGACACCGUAGUGUCAGUACAAACAAACAAACAAAAAACUAGUAUCAAACACCAUAAGUGUUAGAGAGAUGAAAACCUACAGUAAGACUUCCAGACAUAUUGAGCUAGUCAGCAGUCUCCAUUAUCUGUAGUCCAAGAUCUGUGCCCUGCUUCAGCGGCACUUACACUGUUUCAGAUGCUUCCAAUUGUCCUGUACUGCUGAAUACAGAAAUCUUUCUAAGAAAAUGAGAAGAUAUGAAAAUAAAAAACAGUGAUUUGACUGAAAACAAAGAAUGUGGCAGGCAAGUUUAAGCCAGUUCUUUUGGAUCUUAAAUCAGUUGUCAGUGAUGGAAAGGAAAUGAAUGCAUUUUUGCUUACACAGAUUAUUAAGAGGAGUGGGAGAGAACUUGACAUGCCCCAAAAGCAGAUCCUACUACAGACUAAGGAAGACAAUUUAUUAUGCAAGAAGAACCAGUGGCUUAAUUCACUAUAGUAUGUCCUAUUUAUUUAUUUAAUAUACACCCCCGUCUUACAGGAAAUAGGUUGCGUCAGUUAAAUGAGCACUGAAAUCGUACAGCACUACUCCUAAGCACUACUGAAGGCAUGGCACAGGUGCUAUGCUACUUUGCUAUGGUAAAGCUGCCUAGGAUGAUUGAAGAGCAUGACCUGCAUUUCAUCAAAAUAUGAAGCAUCCAAAUUGCAUUUUUCUUAACCACUACAAGUUAAUAUAUGUUAUAUAAUUAAGAACUUGAGCUGAGUUGGAUGUUGAAACUCGAGGCUUUCAAAUUCAACAAAACUACUACCUUUAUGCUCUAUUUCUCUAUGCACUUUUAAAACUUUUGGACCAUUUCAUCUACUAUAUGAAUGGGCAUGAAAAUGUCAGAGAUAUGAAGCUUCUGCUCCUUUCAGGAGAAUCAGUGCAUAAAUAGUGGAAUAAGACCCAGAGAGAUGUCCCUGCUGAGGAAAACACUGCAGUACAAGGCAGAGUGUGAGUUGGAGGGUAAGCUGUGAGAAGAUGGCUAGGAAAAAUGCAAAUUCAAAAGGAAAAAAAAAUGAUUCAUCAGUUUUUUCUUCAUGGCAUGACUUGCUUUUUUUGUAUUUUAAAAUGUCACAGUUCAGAAAUUAUUGAAAAUUGUUACAAAGUUCUCUAUCUGAUAAUGUAGCUAUGUCAUCAUAUUAAAUUACCGUGCUGGCUUAGCAAGCUAAAAAGUAUUUUUGAAAGACUUGAGAUUUCAGAGAACCGUAAUUCACACUGUCUGAAAUACAGCUCAACUUCUUUUUGAAUGGAGCCUUUCUUACAAGAUUCCUGGCACUGCUUGGGUCCAGCUGGAUCAGAAAUAAUUAAAAGAAAAAAGAAAAAAACCCCAAACAAAUAGCCUCUCUCUGAAUUCAGUGUUUCUUCCCUGGCCACAGUGUCGAUUAGGAAGUCAGCAAGGAUGUGUAUGUGUGUGGGUAGCUAAGAUGGAUGUGAGAUUACUCCAAUUAUUACCAUAGAUUUAGCUGCCACCUUUGUGACAAGGUCUCUAAAAACCUAUUUCCAGCCUCUCCUACUUCAUAUAUAAUGCUAGAUGUAUCACUGGUGUCUUACUCAAUGAAAUAUCUUUUAUCUGCCUUCCUCUCUCAUCCCACCUGGGCUCUUGCCAGGUCACAUAGCUUUGUAAUAGCCCUGAUAUCAAUUCUGAGAGUCACACAAACUUGAAUCAUCCUAUGACUCGUUUUAAUCUUUAUUAUUGCAUGUUCUUUAUGUCAGUGUACAAGAAAUACAUUUAUAUAGUCCACAGAGCCUGGGGUAGCACAAGUAGUCAUGUUAGUUAAAGGUACUAAAUGCAUCCCAUCCUUUCACUUAUAUGUGAGAAUGAAGUGCAAUGAAAUUGCCAGUUUAUUGCUUUAUUUUUCAUAGGAUUGUAAAAUCAUAGAAUGGCUUGAGACGGAAGAGGCCUUACAGAUAUCUAGUUUCAGCACCCUGGCAUGGAGUCAGGGUCUCUCUUAAUGACAUCCCAUCCCUCAUGCAUAUCAGCUGCACCAUGAGGCUUGUCACGUGCAAACUUGCUGAGGGUACACUUGAUCCCACUGACAAUUUAACUGAUGAAGAUAUUAAACAGCAUUAGUUCCAGUACUGACCCCUGAGAGACAUGAGACACUGACCACCACUGUCUGGAUAUGAUCUUAAAACCAGUUCCUUAUUCAUGGAACAGUCCACCCAUCAAAUUCAUAUAUUUCCAGUCCGGAGAGAAGGAUGUUGUGAGAGACCAUGUCAAAGCUUUAACUGAAAUUCAGAUAGAUGACGUCCGUUGCCCUUCUCUUGUCCACUAUACACUUACUCCAUCACAGAAGGCCACUAGGUUGGUCAGGCAGUACUUGUCCUUGGUGAAGCCAUGAUGAUUGUCCCAUAUCAACUCCCUUUCUUCCAUCUGACUUAGCAUAGCUUCCAGGAAGAUCUGUUCCAUGAUGUUCCCUGGCACAGAGGUAAGACUGACAGGUCAGUAGUUCCCUGGAUUGUCCUUUCUAUUCUUCUUAAACUGGUGCAACAUUGCCUUUUUUCCAGUUACUGGGAACUUCAUCUGACUGUCAUGACUUUUCAAAUGUUGUUGAGAGUAUCUUGAUGACUACAUCAGCUGAAUUCCUCAGGGCUUUGGGACUCUCUUUCUGUAAAUGUAGAAAGAGAUAAACCCUAGUGUUUACAGUCAGCUGCAGGCUUUGAGUAGGGCUGGGGAACUAGACCUGGAUGCUGGGCUGUGAAUGGAGCCAUUCUUCUCUCACCCAUUCCCUGCAGCAGCAGGGACACAAAAGUGCACAGGAUGAGCAGGAACUGUGGGGUCAGGCACAGCACUUCUGGGUUAAGCUGCUUCUCUCCUUUUCUUGAGGCAUCUCUUCUAGAAGACUUGGUUUAGCCACGAGUUAAGCACAUGAGGAACACAUGACCUUCUCAAAGCAAAGAACCUUUAUUGUACAAUGAACUCAGUUAGCAACAUGGGAAAGUUGUUCUGAGAAUAAUUAAAGCCUCACUGUUCGUUCUAUAAUGGAACAAUGUUUGAAAGUGGGAAAAGAAUAUGAUAGGGAAUUGUUACUUUUUUAAACUAAGUUUUCCAGAACCUUUCCCAUGUCCUUGGCUUGAACAUUUACCACGGUAUAAUGUGAAGAUGCUUAGUUGUUCUCACAUACAGAGCCAAAGGAGGAAUUUGCUGUUUUCCUACCAGUUCAUUUUCUUCUGUGGGCAGAUACUCCACUCCCUUCAGUGAAUGAGAUGAGAAAUUAUGUUGUAGCAUAAUUUGAAAAGGCAAGGGAAAAUAUCAUGCUGUUUGUAUAAUCCUCUCUUACUCCUCUAAUGUGUCUGUAAGCAUCUGGAUGUCAUUUUCUGCCUGUCUACUGAUUAGACAGGUUGUGCAAAGGAGAAUGACUCUGUUGCUGUAAUAAUAUUGACCUGGAAAAUUGGUCUGUAGAGCUUCCGUAUGAAAUUCUAAAGCCUUCUUACAAACAUUAAUGAAAAGAAUUUCACAACCUUCUGUCAGACAGGUAAAUGUUACUGUCAUCAUUUGAUGUCUGCAAGAACCAGAAGAGAGAUUAUGUGAGUUGCUCAAAGUGAAGUGACAGGGCUGAGAACACUACCCGGCUCUCUGUGCCAUGAGCAGAUAAAAUGUAGCAAAUUCCCAAUCCAUUUAAUUUUACUAACCAAAAAAAAAAAAAAAAAAAAAAAAAAGGUUAGUGUAAAGAUGAGAAACAUGAAAAGCAAUUUAAUCUGAGUGGUGUUGCUGAUAAGUUGUAGUUUUUUUAGUAGGAAUUGUGUGAGAAUGUUUCAGAGAAGUCACAGCAGAUACAAUGGAUGAUGUGUCACUGUAGUGCCCCUGUCUAAGCAGAGGCGUUGAGACACUGGGCUUUUGUUUCUGCAUCCUGUGUUUAUCUUCUGGUGAAAGUUGGUGCUGCUCGGUGCAAGGGAGCACAACUCUGAAUGCUGCUUGAUCUUUACUGUUGUUGGAAGAGCCUUAAAAAGAAGCCUGUGUUCAGGAUUUGACUACUGACAAACACAGUGAGACUGGCACCAUCCUUAUUGGUAUUUAGGUGAAAAUAUAGCAAAAGAUGGUAGGUUCAUCCACGCCUGAACUUUCUUGUAGUAGAAUUAAGCAGUGAUUUCAAUUCCACGUGACAGCCACCAUAUUUUCUUGUUCUCACCUAGGAGGAAAUGGAUGAAGAUUCUGCAGAUGCUAAGCAACUUGUAUCUCAGGGGAUUAAAAUGACAGCCUGUUCCAUAAAUCCUUGAGGAUUAACAACACAUAUGUUCAAGCAUCAAAUCAUAGCAAAAGAAAAAGAGGAGCUUGUUUUUGUCUUGGAGCAUUAUCACAGCAGAUAGUAGAGACAUGGAAUGUAUGUAUAUUAAGUAAAGUUGGGAAAAUGUAUAAGAGUAGAAUAAAAUUUCACUGUUUUUACCUUCUUUUGUUAAUCAGGCCAUUGUAUUGUUGUAUAUUUAUACUAAAGAGUUCAAAUACUUGGAUUUUUAUUUCAGAAAGGGUUUGUGUUCUUGUCUGAGUUAAUGCUUGAGAACUAUAUUAUGGCAGUGUAUUGUACCAACAGCAGCUACGCUCCUGCUAAAUUUUAGGUGAUUACCUGUGUGAGCUAUUCCACUUAAAAAUAAUUAGAAAACAUUUCUCUUGAGUUGCAGCGCUGCAAAUAGAAAUCAGUUCACGUUAGUUUUGAAACAGUCUUGUCGUCAUAAAUUUCCUUUUAUGAUCUUGUCUUCAUCUAGUUCACUGUAUACCCCAAAGGUUAUUUUCUUUUCAACCCUUAACGGUUAACAUACCAUAGAAAAAAUAUGCAGGUAUUUGAGAGGGAUGGGAUAUUGUAUUGGAACUGUUAAACUGAAUUCAGCUGCUGACUUACAAGUGUCAGCAUUUUCUGAGUUUUGUAAAGAAGUGAACCAUACUGGGUGGAUGCCAAAAAGUACUCCUUUAUGUUCUCAUCAGUGGUGUACACGGAUGAAACUCUUCAGCUGUAAGAAUAGUUGUUUCAUUUUUAAUUUAGCUAAACCUCUGGGGAUUUGAAUUUUGGGCAAAACCUUGGUGUGGUGAUUUAUUUACUGGUUUGGCUGUUUGGGGUGUUGAGAAAUUCUUGUUCUCUCCAUUUUGAGUAUCAAUACUGAAGUACUUUGUCAAGAUCCUUGCACUUUGACUAUUUCUAUCUGAGAUUCAAAGCACUUCUAAAUGAUCAAGAUUAUAUCUAGACUGUGAGAGAAAUGUAUUCAUGGAACACCAACAUCCUGUUUUAUUGACUGUCCCAGUUGUGCAUCUCCCUGUUUUGACAUUCAAAACAUAGUGAUUAUUAUUACAGACAUGGUUCGCUUAUAAUGUAUGGUGAAAUAGAUCAUUAGAGUAAAUUAUAUAUUCUUCACUGUAUGUGGUCAGACAUCACUGUACCAGAGGGCUUUACAGGGUUACUGUCCCUUUUCUGCCUGUGCUGUGUUGCUGUACUGCUCCUUCUGCAAGCAGCUUCGUUAUUCCUGCUUGUGGAAACAACACUGUAUCAUCAAAAUCACUUUGUGAAACUAUCUACAUAUUUCUUAUGGAAAGUAUUGAAAAUCUCCAAGAACCAACUAAAGGCAUAAUGAAGGUUGGUAGAUUGCUGAAACUCAGUCUGAUUCUGUGAUGUAAGAUACAAUAUAGGUACAUAAACUUUGGUGAUGAAUAACUAAAUCUUUUCUUUCUUUACUUCUAGUUAGCAUGUAGGUCCUUUUUUCUGUCUAUAAUCUACUUAGCAUGACACUUUCCUUGCUGCACAAGCAUUUUUUUAAUUAUAAAGAUAUUAUUCCAAUUAAAUAUUACACAUCCCUUCAGUGAUUACUUCUUCCAGGUGGAAGAAUCAUUAAUGACAGCAUUACUAGGUGUGUAAGUUUUAGUAAUCAGGCUGGAAAUGCUUUUAUUGGGGGCUUGGUCCUGUGAAGUGUUGUAUACCUUGGAUUGCCAAGGACUCCAGAAGCAACAUGAGCACCUAAAAUGAAUGCUUUGUAGUUUUUAGACCUGGACUUUGCUUCCCUUCAUAAAUUAAUUGGCUUAGGGAUAGGUGAUAGCAUUGCAAGUCUCACACAUAGAGUGUGGCUAGAAUCCGGGGACUGUGUUGACUGGUAGUCCAUUUCAACAUGACAGAAACUUUGCUCUGCCAUAUAUCUCACACACUGAAACAACAAAAAAUAUUUUUCCAUUCACUUGUAUGAGUUUAGCAUCCAUAUGCCCACAGCCAAAGAAAUAUUUCUCCCUAAAACUAGUUUGUUUGUGUCAGAAUCUUUCGUAAGUGGACUCUGUUUUUGAGGACUCUAGUGUUUAACCACUCUGAUGCAACCAAAUCAUUACCUAAAUGUGAGCUUUCAUGGAGUCAUAUCCAUAUACACCAUAUAAAUGCUCUGACACAAACAAUUUUACUAAUUACCAUUCUUUCUAUAACCUUUCUGAAUCAAAAACUGUUUAGGCCAAUAUUUGGAGAAAGCUAUUUCCUGCAAAUAAUUUAUCUUUCUGAAAAUGUAUUAUUUCUUAUUUUUAAUUUGUGAAACAGAGACAGAAACUCUCCACUACAUAGACUUCUGAGUACCUUUCUGGCUCUCAAACCUAUAAGAAUGCUCUGCUGCAAUUACAGGAGUGGAUAUUCCUUUUUGUCUUCCUGUACAUCAGCACGUUGACAUUUCAUCGGUGACAUGCAUUUUCCGUGUGACUUUAUCUAAUUAUUAAAAUCUGCCUGCUUAUGACUAUUUCAGAGUUAUCUCCUCUCAGAACUAUUAUCAUGCCUUAAAAUGCUUGCAACUGUGAAAACUCAUAGCCAGAUGUUUCCUAAUGAACAGUGUGUGCUAUGGUCAGUUACACGUGAACUGCAUAAAUACGAACUUUCAAAACAAUAUGUGUUUUGUACUCGAGUUGCUCCAUGCUAGUGACUGUCCCCACCAAAAGCAGUUUCCUGGCAGAAGAUAAGGGUACAGAAGCUGUUAGAGCACAAAACCCAGCCCUCUUUCUGGGGUGUUUUUAUAUAUGUUUUUUUGCACACCACCCAAAAGUGCUCUGGGAAAUCAUAAAGAUGCAGAAAAGGAUCCUUGCACACAUUACGUAUGGAAUAUCAGUGCAAUUGUGGUGCCAUGAAUUCUGUAUGCCAGGUUUCAAUUUUGGGACUGAAUGAAGUCACUUGUCUAGAAGUCAGGCAAAUUUAUCAGGACAGAAAGAUACUUUUCUAGGACAGUGCUUUCUUGGUGGAGUAAAAUUGACUUUUGGAGGGACUGCAUAUAUUCAGGUACCGUUUGAUUAAUUAGAAACAUUUUUAUUCAGCAUCUCAACUAUCUAUUUCUGAAAAACUGAAGCAACCACGAGUGGCAAUUUCCAUCUAAGAGAUAUAUUUUGUUAGGCAGUUUGCAUUUUUGUGCUUUUUAGGUAUGCAUAAAUAUAUUACUAUUAAAGAAAAAGAACUUAAGAAUCCAUUUUGGCCAUCGUUAUUUAUGAUUUUGGUUUUUAUGAUUGUCUUAGCUUCUGUACUUAUCACAGAAGAAUAACAGUGUCAGUGUAAUACAGGCGAUGCUUCACUGAUGAUCAGUAUUUUUCUGUUAAUCAUUGAUUACCUUUUCUUAUAGGAAAAAGGAGAAAGCAUAUGCAGUGUUGGUACUGUGAUGUUGAAAAAAGUUACAAAAUGCUGUCUCAAGGCAUUCCAUUACAUGUACCAGAGUAUUAUGUACUUCUUUGGGUUCUUCCUAGAAUAUGGAGGCUCUGGAUUCUUUCUUUGCAUUAGAAAUGAAAGUCCUCUCUAUUCUGGGCAGAAUGUAACAAGGAAAACAUUAGAAAAGCAAUCAUUAUACUUCCAAACAUAUUAAGUAUGUAUGUAUUUGGAUAAAUAUAAUUCACUUUUGUAUUUUAUUACUUGCUUUCUAGUACAAAGAAGGCAAGGAAACUCAUGAAAAUGCAGACCAAAGAAGUAGCACAUGAGUGUGUCUGCAUGCACUGAUUUAUAUACUAACUUCAUUACACAGUGAUACAAAACAUCUAGACAGCAAUGUUUCCCUGCUUUGAUAUACUGUGCAUAGAAAAAUUUAGCUUUGUAUUAGAGAUCUUUUAUUCACUGCCAUCUGAAUCUUUUGCUUCCCUCAUUGUUCUGCUCAUCUCUAUUUAAAAUACUGUUCUGAUUCUGAUCUUAGAGCACUAUAAACCCCCACAUAAGUCUAACAACUUCAAAGAAGUUUCUUCUUUACAUAGUUAUAACUAAGAUAUGAAUCUGGCCUGUAGGCACAUUCAUUUUAUAGCAAGUUAAAACAUGUACCCUAACUAUUAGCAAGUCCUUAAGGUUAACAGACAUACACGUGCAGUUAGAAUAGAAUAGCAGCUACAGUGCUUUUUUUUUUCUUCAUCCAGAGCUAUUUUUGGUUCCUUUCCCUUUGACACACAUUCCUGGUAACAGUUAAAAGCAGGUCUUUUAGUACAGAAUUAAUGCUGAUAACUGAGCGCUUUAUCAAGUACGUUUCCUGCUUGGAUGCUAGUUGUUUUAUGUAGAGUAGAAAUGUGAGGUCUGAUUCCCAUUUUACUUGCAGUGAUAUAAAUCAUCAGAGAUGGGGUGCAAGAUUCUGCGCAGGAAAAUGAUUCUGUGGAUCCAUUCAUAUUUGUUGCUUGACUAUCAAAAUAAUGCGACAGAGAAACAGGGACUGCUCAUACCUUUGUGGACUCAGAAUGAUCCCUGUCCCUUUUUGUGUAAAGUCUGCUUCUAGGAAAAAGCUUCGCACAAGGUUGUUCACGGCUUUCCUCUCCUAAAAGACUGAAAGCUGAUGCUGCAGCACAUUGCAAUGACAGUGACAAUUGUAGCAGAGAGCACUGAUGGAGUUUGCCUUGACCUAGGUGGGGAAGGUAAGACCUACUGAACAAUGUCUGCUACCAUUGUCUGUGUGGACCGUCAUGUUGGAGUUGGAGGUCCUAUUUCUGUGUUGACAAGGCUGUAGCCCUUGCGGGUUGACAUGUACUUGGUAUCUGUGCUUUGUCUGUGGGCAGAACAUACCCCUAAGGUGAGAGGAGAUCUGGAUGACCUUGUCUUUCACAAACUGCUGUGGUGAGCCUUCAUCCCUAAGGGCUCAAUUUAUGUAAACUACCAAGUGCCUCUGAGUCUAAUUGAUUUCCUCUAGCAACUCCAAAAAGAUGUAAUAACAAUUUUUGGGGGUCAAUUUUGGGAUCCCUCUUCACACACGAACUGCAGUAUCCAGUAAAAUUUCCUGAGAUGCAUAUAAGCUAACUCCCCAGGUGUGAAUUUCUGGGUGCAGGUAACAGAAGGUUCUUAGUGGAAAGUCCCCGGGAUAUUGACUCAUUUCCUCUUUUUUCCAUUAGGGUCCAGAUUUUCUGACUUUCAGUGUGCAUAGCCAGGAAUACUUAUUUAAUUUAACAUUCCUGUGCCUGGGCAAAAUGCCAGGAGGAAAAGAAUUUGUUUUAUCAGUGGGAGGGGUUGGCAGAUGGUGGCACGGCUUUGGGCAUUUGCCAGUGGUUGACAAUAUCAUUUGUUUAUUUUUCUUUAACUGUGCACUCUGCCUACACAUGGGAUUAUGAUAAUGGGGGCAAAUAUAAAUGAAUAGUGAUGAAGGAGAUCAGCUUCUAAGAUCCCCAUUAGGAUGGAAGGGUGUUAAACUUACAGCCUACAGACAUCUGCCUUGACUCCAUGCAGCCUAUUAACCGCAUGCACACACAUUUUUUUAAAGUAUCAAACUCCUGCCCAGGAAGAGUUUCCCUUCAAGGCUAGUAUGAAGUAUUUAAGUUUAUAUCAGUGGGAUUUAAGCACAUGCUUGUUUCCUGAAGUAGGACUUUGCUAAGUUUCAUUCUUUUCAACUAAGUCUCUGGACUGCUGUGUAUUCUUCAGAGAGAAAAUGCAGCCAGAAAGUCAGGAUUUCCACUGAGAUGAUCUCCUUAAUCCAGUCACUGGAUUUCCAAGCAGGCUACAGUUGCAUUUGAAAAUGGCCAAAAAUAAAGGAAAAAGGUGUUAUUUUCAUAACGUAUGGUGGAAUAAAUGCUAUAAGUACGGUCACCAGUGAAUGAAAAACACUUGAUGUUAUUCAAGUUAUGUUUUGCCAAACAUAUACUUCUAAGUAAGAGUAAAGGUAUAGUAAGUAAAGAAUUUAAUAAAGAGCUUGUUCAUUUAAUAAGAACUAGACUAGUUAUAUACACAGUUCAAUAUGCAAAGGAAAAUCUCAUGUGGUAUGAGUAAAGAUCACGCAGUUGGGCUUUUAAGUCAUCAACUAGAUAUGGCAUCUAAAUCACAUACUUUAAGUAAAGAGAGGCCAGUUAUUUCUCCUGCUAUGACAUUGUUUGAAAUUGUUCCAGAGCUUGCAAGCUUAUGACACUCCAGGAAAUCAGCACACAUUAUAGUAGCACUUCACAGCUCAAUGUUGCCCAGAAUAUGGACUUGGGUCAAAACAGUCUCAUGCAGUGGUAGAGGUUUGGGGAAUGGUGGCUGGAAAGUUGCCUGACAGAAAAGGCCCUGGGGCUGCUGGCCAACAGCUGGCUGAACAUGAGCCAGCAGUGUGCCCAGGUGUGAAAGAAGGCCAACAGCAUCCAGCAUCUUGGCUUAUAUCGGAAACAGUGUGACCAGCAGGACUAGGGAAGAGAUCAUUCCUCUGUACUUGGCACUGGUGAGACCGCACUGUGAGUAUUGUGCUCAGUUUCGGGCCCCUCACUACAGAAGGGAUAUUGAGUUGCUGGAAUGCAUUAAGACAAAAGCAGUGAAGCUGGUAAAGAGCUAGUAAGCAAGAAUUAUGAGGAGUGGUUGAAAGAGCUGGGACUGUUUAAUCUGGAGGAGGCUGAAGGGAGGCCACACAGUUCUCUACAACUACUUGAAAGGAGGUUAUAGCAAGGUGGUCUCUUUCUUUAGGUGACAAAUGAUGGGACAUGAGACAAUGGCUUCGAGUUGAACCAGGGAAGGAUAGAUUAGAUAGUAAGAAGUUAUUCACGUAGAGAGUGGUCAAACAUUGGAAUGAGCUGGCCGGAGGAAUGGUUAUAUUUAAGAAAUGUGUGGAUAUGGAACUAAGAGACAUGGUUUAGGGGUGGACUUGUUAGCAUUCGGUGAUGGUUGGACUUGAUGAUCUUAAAGGUCUUUUCCAAUCUAAGUUCUUCUAUGACUCUUAUAUGGUGCAGCAGCCUCCUGGGAAAAAAAAAAAUCGUUGCUACUAGUGUUCAUUAAAAUGUCAUCAAUGCUUUCAUCUGAAAUACAGCUCCAUAAGUUAGCCACUUGCAUGUACUUUUUCCACUGUGCUUUCUUGUGUAAAGUUGAUUAUUAGAAAAGUUUGCAAAGAAUAAGCUUCACCCUAGCUUUUAAUAUGCAGAGACUCCUUUGUUUUUCUUUUGUAUGUGACAGGCAGUGCUUCAGUUUCAGAAACUUUAGGUGGAUUUCUUUUGAGCACAUGCUCAGAUCAUAAUUCCUAUAAUAAUCUAGCUGACGCACACAGUACAGUAUGCAGCUAGCAGUGUCUUGUGCAGCUAAACCUUGUGUUUCCUUCAUGGUGGUCAAUAUUCUAGAUUUAAGGGCCAAGUAUUCUGGUUGGAUUACACCUGUUGUUACAAAUUAUGUUCAAGUAAAUCAUGUGAUGCUCCAUCAUACAGUCAGGUGAUCGUUGUUCUGCAUCACUGGAGAUGUUAUACAACCACAGUGGCAGCCCAGCACUAAGAGAGCAGGGUACUUGUUCUGGAGUUCCAAAGAGGCAAUUGGCCAUCAGAAAGAAAAACAACUUAGUUAGAUGACUUCACACUAAACAUCUUGAGUCAAUUCAACAACUGAAAAUACUCUUUAUUCCAGAAAAAGGAUCUUAUAUAUAAUUUUCCCAUGAAAAACCACAGUUUUAUGGGAAAUGCAUUUGCCUUUGGUAUGUUGCUACAGUGAGUUGUCCUUGAUCACUUCUAAUCAUUUAAACAUUUUAGCUACGUGUGGUAUUAUUAUUUACUCUGACAUACAAACAAUACAGUACUGUGUCCUUUGCUCUGCUUUUUACCUGUGCUGGUCUCCUUUCCUUUUCUCUACGUCCAUUAGUUUGCAUUGGCCCUAAAAUGUUGACUAGACAAACAGAUCAUCUAACCUCACCCAGCCAGUCAUAUUUCAGCUAAUUACCUUGUGUGGUCCCAACCCCCAAGCAAUUUUCAUGUAAACAAGUUUCAGGAAUUGUAGAUAAUUCCCUUGCUGCUCUCAAGUUCAGACAGGUGUUUUCUUUGUUUUUGCGAAGGUUCUAUUCUGUGUCAUUAGUCUUUGUAAGUCAUUAUUUUUUGUUUUAACUGCUUUGAUCUAUUCACUAACUUCAAACUGGCCUUUCUAAGUAAAAGUUGACUCCUUUAUGUUUUCAUUGAUUGAUUUUUGUGUUAUAAUAAUGUUUGUAAACACAGCUUAGUUUCAUUCAGUUUUUCAUCUGUGCUCAAAUAAAUGAGAUUUCUACCACAGAUAAGACCCACAAAUCUUUCUUUCCCACUAGGAAAAGUACAGAUAAUCCUAUGGCAACAGCUGUCAGGUAAAAGCCCAGCCUAAAUCUCACUGAGGAUGCAUGUACUCCAGGGUGAGCUGGUCUGCAGCAGGCUCAGCUUCUGCAGGUUACAUUAUAGAGAAGAUUCAAAUGUUUCAGAAGAAUGAGAAAGGUGUCCAUUCCAAAUGCCAGCUUCCUCCCUGUGUGAGGGAGAGAAGUGAGUUCAGGUGAAGCAAAAUGUAGCCCCUGAAAUCUUCAUUCUUACUCUUACCUCCAACUUUUACCUUUCCAACCUUUCGUUUUCAGCUGUAGCUAGUCUUGGCUCAACUUUGGAAUUAGUACUUGUUUAUGGUAUCAGUGUGUACAAGCAUUCCUCAGUAUUCUCCAGCAGAAGCAGUUGGUCAUGAUCCUGACUUUUUAUAAGUAGUUCAAAGACUUCCACAAUCCUAGAGGAGAAGCAGGGUCUCUUGGUAUACAUAUCUUAUGAAGAAGAGUAAGCAAAUAUGCCGUCUAAAAAUGAUUUUAAAGGUCACAGCAAGUAACAGUAAAGUGCAGUAGUAUGUUGUGGUUACCAGUGAACUCUUCUCUCCUUACAUACUGAAAACUAAGGUGACAUGUUAGACUACUUCUAAAUUGAUUGGAUUUUGGGGUUUGAUUUGUCUAAAAUCCCUUUAAAAGAACUUUAAAAAAAAAAAAAAAGCUUCCAAAGGGAAGUUGUCAAACUAAAAUAUUUCUGAAUUUUAUUGCAUAUGGUGAGAAGCAUAGAGAAAAGAUACAAAAUCGCUGAGGGAAAUAAUGGUACUUAUCUAAAGCCUUUCAUCUCUGUAACUGGUCUGCACUGGUGUUCAUGAAGCUAUAUUAAUGUCAUUGUGAUCCUUGAAAUGAGCUAGGUGUUUUCUUCUGUUCAUAACAUGUAUUUUUUUAUUAUUAUUAUUUCCUAAGGAACGUUCUGUUAGAAGAAUAUCAUAAUAUAAUAUCAUAACUGAUAUUAGUAACACCUUCAUCAGUCACCAGUGGAAAAUCCAUGAAAUCCUUAACACAAAUUCUGUUGGUUUCAGGCAGGAGAACAGCACAGAUGCUGUAAGUUUCCAGGACCCAGCUGUCAAAUAGUGUGUGUAGAAAGCUAUGAUUUAGAAUUUCCUCUCUAAGGCUUCCCAGCAGUGAGCCUAAAUGCAGAAUGUGGGUUAGGGAGCCCACAUUCUCCCUGGGGAGAUGAAACAAACAUGCCCAGGAGCCAGAAAAGAAUCUUAUUUCUGUUCUCAUCUUAUUUACAGCCUGCUUUCAAACCAGCUGAGAUUUCCAUACUGUGAAACUUGGAUUCAGAUAAAAAUGACUUUGUGCUACUCUGAUCCUAAUUUUACUUCCAAGCUGUAGGGUUUUGUCCACCUCAGGGAAUAAUGCAAAAUAGAUGCAGGAUGAUUGUGGAAGAGUAUUUUUGCAACACUGUUGCCUUCAUGGUUGGAGAUUCUUGGUUUACUCAGUCGGCAAAUCAUUCGCGGCCUUCAUUGGAAUUUCUGCCUCUUAGAGCAAAGAUAAAUAAAUGAAAAAAUAUAUGUUUCCAAGAAACGGAAGUUGCAUAAACACGAUUUGACUUGACAAUAAAAUAGUGCUGACCUGACAGCGCCAUCAGGGCCUGAUGGACUAAAGCUUUAAUUCUCAAGAUCACAAGGCAGACCAGUGCAUAUAUUUCCAUCGCUGUCUUCAGCUUAGUUUCUAUGUGGAGGCAUUUACCUUGUCUUCUACUUCUAUCUCAGUGCUUUAUAGAGAAUGUUGGAGUAUGCUCUUACAUCCUUGCUGUGGAGUGUAGAGAGACAUUUUCCAAGUAAGCAUAAUAACUGCCUUCUCAAGGCAUAAUGCAGUGUACUGCCAGCACUGUCAGUAUAGGGGGAGUAGCUGUAGUGUUCCUACUGCUGUGAUGGUUGACAGAUAUGAGAAAGCACUCUUACUUUUCUGUGUCUUCUACCUACAUCACACAAAUGAACCAUUUCCCUCAACUUCUGUUUGUUAGUAAACUUAGAGAAAACACUGACAUAAAUUCAUUCAUGGUUAGGAUUUAAGUUAAUUCUCUUUCCUAGACUUCUGAACCAAUUAGGAUUUAGCUAACUGUUUAUUUUCCCCUCAACUUGCAGAUCUGGAAGCAGAGUAGAAGCAGACCCAGUUCAGUGUAAUCUGUAAUAUUACUUCCUUCCAUUUUCUCUCUUUUCCUGUGAAAUCUAGUUCCCCAGGGCCCACAAAUCUGGGACAAAUUGGCUGUUGAUAUUUUCCAAUUGUUUGUUGAUGGAAAAGGGUGUAAACUGAUCCAUGUAACUUGGAAAGUUUUAAAAUAUCUCUCCUAUGACAUACAAAGCCAUGCUUUGUCUUCAUGAAAUUAGAUUGUUCUCAUAAAGGCUUAACAAUACAGAGAAGUGUUAAAAAAAUGUGUUUUAUUAAUAUCAUAGUGUAGUAAUGUAAGGUCAUAGCAGCUGAGAAUUGCUUGAAUUUACUCCAGAUGUUGCUUAAAAAGCCCUGAUUUUUGACAGAUGUUUGAGAAUAAAAUAUAGAGCAUGGCGACAAAGGACUUUUGUAAAUGUUACUCUAUGUUACAAACUUCUCAUCGAGGUGCUAAGGCUCACUGAAGUUAUUUGGUGCAAUAGAGGAAAGUUUGUGCCCCUACUAAGGGAAGUGAGUUCAUCUGUAAUACCAGCUGCCAGAAAAUGCCACAUGGGAGAGAGAUGACAGCAAUCUGGAAAAUCACUCUGAUCAGACACUGUACUUUAAGAAGGAAAUAAAUUGCACUGUAUACAGAGCUGUAAGUAUCUGACCUUUGUGACCUUCACUGCCAACUGGUCUCUAAUUUAAAUGAACUGUGCUGCAAACGUCAUUGUUGAAAUAUUAUUUUGAUAAAAACAGAGCAAAAGGAGAUGGUUUAGAUUUAAGUUUGAAACAGGAGAAUUACAUAGUUUGCUAGAAAUCCAGAACUCUUUUUUUAUUCCUUUUGCUCUUCUUUUUUUUUUUAAUUGCAUGAAACCUGUAGAGCACCUUGCACCUGGCACUCCUGGAAUUAACGCUAUUAAAAUCUUUGCUUGUGCUUCUGACAAACAACUACUCUUCAUGCUGUACCCAAAGUCUCCAUUAAGAUUUACAACAACUGAAUUUAAAAUAGGAUUGUCUCUGCACUGAGGAAAACCAUUUGCAAAUAGCAUUUUAGUUUUCUUUCUCAACUAUUACUUUAAAAUUCUCAUUUAUGAAGCUGUUGGCAGGAGACAAAGUCUUAAGCUAAGUGCACAAUAGCAGUACAAACUUUGCUACUUGAGAAGUUCAAGGAGGUUAAGUUCUACUUGGUGAUGACUUUCCCCGCAAAUCUCAUUCUCAUGUUUUGAAUUUUCAGACUCUUCUCACUGUGUGGUCAAUGGAGCUGAAAGACAUGUUCUAGGUGAACGUGUCCUUACAUCUAAAUGUGUGUUUGAGUUUAUAUUCAACUACUGACUAUACAAGUCUAAUGUAUACCUUGUGCUGAAUCAGCCCGUUCCCUCCCCACCAGAUGUCCUGCACCCUUCUCUUGGAGAUAUUUUCUCUGCUUCCCAGUUACCAUGUAGCCCAAGUGUUUGUGCCUGGGUUGUUCCUGUGUACGUAAUAAAGACAGCUUCAGUUAGAGUUGAGAGGCAUUUCAGUGUCCUAAUUUAAACCAUCCUCACUAUGGUUGUCAGAGGAGGUGGCCACUCUUGUGAAAUAAAGACAAUUUCUCUUCCUCAGUUUCCUGUAGAAAGGAAGGACUGUGCUUGGAUGAGGUAAGCUGGAGCCUGAAACUUUCUGUUUGCUGACAGAAUGGAUAAGAAGUCAGAUGCAAUGUGAACUUCACGAAGGUCCGUCACAAACAAAGGCAGAUCAGUUAGAUUGUGAUUCAGAAAUGUGUUUAUGUAUGUCCUCUGCUUUGGACACUUGUCUGAUUCAAGUUUAAUUCUGAAACCUACCUGCGUUCUUAAAGCCAGGAGUAAUCUGGUGUGAGUGAAUCAGGGGAAUGGCUGUUUGUCCUGGUUUCAGUUGGGAGAGUUAAUUUUCUUCCUUGAGGCUGGUAUGGUGCUGUGUUUUGGAUUUAGGAUGAGAAUAAUGUUGAUAUCAAACCAACGUUUUGGCUGUUGCAGAACAGUGCUGCACAGAUCCAAGGAUGUUUCAGUUUCUCAGAGCUGGGGGUGCGCAAGAAGCUGAGAGGGACAGAGCCAGGACAGCUGACCCAGACUGAACAAAGAGAGAUCCCCUACCUUAUAAUGUCAUUGAACAGUAAAACGGGGAGUUGGCCAUGGGGUUGCCACUGACUGGGGACUGGCUGGGCAUCAGUUGGCAGGAGGUGAGCAAUUGCAUUGUGCAUCACUUGUUCUGUAUACUCUUCUUGUUAUCUUUUUUUCCUUUCCUAUUUUUUCUUAUUAAACUGUCCUUAUCCUCAACCCACAGGUUCUCAUGCUUCUACCUUUCUGAUACUCUCCCCUCAUCCCACUAGGAGGGAGAAGAGGGCAAAAGGUUGUGUGGUUCUGAGCUGGUUUAAACCACAGAAGUCCUUUUUGCACUGAGUGUGAGGUGUGAAAGACUGAGAUAAUAGCAGAUCUGACCAUAGUAUGUUAAAACAAAUUUGUUGUAAAAAUUAUGUUAGUUUAAUAUUUGCCGGUCACAUUGUUGAUUUAUUUUUUUCACAGUGUUGAUAUAUUUGUUGAUAUAGUUUCUGAUUUUCUUGAAUCUUUUCUUGUUGUUUAUCAUCUCCAGGGACUGGCCUAAGUUUGUUUACAAUUUUGCCAGUUUGUAUGUAGCAUGUGCUCAUAUUAGACUGACCAGGAACUUAAUCUGUUAUUUUCACUCACUUAAGGCUAUCAUUCUUGCACUUCAGGAGCCUUACAGUGAGAAUUAUUAAAAAAUACAGUGUUUACUCCAGGCACAUUAAAAUAGUUUUCAAAAAUUUUUGAAUACUCUUGGGAUAUUCACACUAGUGUGGUCCUGUUGCUAUGUCUUGUGCCACGUGCUUCAAUUUUUAUCUGUUGUUAAGCAGCUAUUUAAGAAUGCUACCCUGAGAUCUUCACUGAAACAGGAUGGUUAUGGGUGGCAAGGUGUGUAGGAGAAUAUAGGCAGGUAUUUAUCAGAGUUGUCAUCUUUGAUGGUUUUGGGAUUCAACUCUCAACAAGUAGAGAAUUCUAAAAAAAAAAGGUAUGCCCUCAUUCUGGCAAUGCCAGUGAUUUACAGCCCACUGCACUGUGCUGGAGUCUGGCUUGGACCUAUCAAGCAUUAUUCAACACUAUUCAGCACCUCCAAAAGGAAGAAAACAACCCUGGAUCUGACCCAACCUCUGCAACAGGCCCAGCUGCUGAACCAGAAAACCAACUCAUGCUGACAUCAUAUAUCCCUAUAUUCAAGAAGAAACAAGGGAACUGAAAGAUAAUUUGUUAAGGAAGACAAGAAACUUCUAAGUAGAAAGGGAAGGAAGAAAACAUGGACAAGGCAGGCUGUGCUGAAGAAAGGCCAUACAAGAAAGGGAGGAAGAAGCAGUAAAUGUGGCAGUAUUCACCCAAUCCCUAUCUCUGUGUGAGCUGAAACAUAUGCAAAAAGAUUCAGCCCUCCUCCAGGUGUGCACAUUGUCACCUGGCUGCUUUGAUGCUUGGAUAAUGGGGCUGAUAGCCUGGAAUUAGAGGGCAUGGAAGUGAAAGAUCUGGGAUCCCUCUCUAUGGAAAUGAGCAUUGACAAAGCAAUUAUAAAAAGAGGCACAACCCCUCAGACUCUUGAGGUGACUCUUGUUAUCUGUGAAAAAGGAUAUCCCUACAAGGAAGAUGUUCUAUGUAAACCAGACAACCAUGGAGAAAGAUAUCCGGUACCUGAGGGAAUUAGGCACUCUGGAGGUGAUGUGUUAUGACCUGGACAGUGAGCAUUUAUCACAAGAUCCAGAUAGUGUCAAAAGCAUUUGAUGCAUGUGGAAUAAAUUUGUAUAGAGGACAGUGUCGUCCUGUGCCAUCACACUGUCUGUAAUGAUCUGGAAAAAGAGAGAGGAACUGACAGCGCAUGAAUUGGCUAGCCAACUCCAUCAGUAUGAAGAAAGUCUCUCUCUUCCUCCUUAUGGGCCUGCAUCUCGACUGCUGAGAAACUGGUUCAGGAACUCAAAGAGAGAGAAUGUCUUUUCUCCCAUCUGUACAGAGCAGAAUCUCAGCUACUAGGAGUAAACAUUCUUCUCAAGAGAGCUGCAACCAGAUGAGGUGAACACUACCUCAUAUCUGCUAUUGAUCUGUGGAUGACUUUAGGCAAAUCGGGCAAUGUUUAUGACUUUCUUUACUCUCUGAGACUCUUUUAGUCAACUGCGAAUUUCCUGGAGCUCCUUGGAUGAAAGUCUAUUCAGACCACCCUACUGCAGCUUUGGCCAUCCCUCUAACCUUCAAUUUCUGUCCUGAAAUACAUGAAUGCUGAAAGGCCAUUAUCAUCUCCAGUGUACUGCAAAUGAAAACAAAACAAUCAUGCCACCUUCUUUGGACAUCUCUGCCUGCAGGAAAAUAUGAUUCCUACACCACAAGGCUGGUCAGGUGCCUGCAGUUUGUUGGAUCUCUAAGUACAAUUAGAAGACAAACUCCUUGAAGCACAGCCUAACCCUAGGCUAUCACUUAUAUUAUAGCCUGAGUGUGCCAUCCGCACAAAGCUCAUAGCAGCAGGCAUAAUACUAGCCCACAAAAAUUAAGAACUGUUAUGUUGUUAAACUCUUUCCAAGGUGAAGGUUUCUAUAGUAAAGCGUGUAUGGAAUUCUGUGUCAUACUGAAGGAAGAGGAAUAAGUCAUGUUAAAGAGUUACUAAUGUGUAUGGAGAAAAUUAUUUAAAAAUAAAUAAAAUAAAUAAAUAAAAUUAUUUACAAAUAACUUUAUCCAGGUCCUCAAAUUUGGGCAUAGACAGAAUAUAUAUUGUCCCAAUAGAUUCAGUGGAACAUUUUGGCUGGGUCACAUUCUUUUUCUUUCCUACAGGUGUGUAAAUAAUCAGUUAUCUGAACAGUUUAAAAAGAUGAAUCCUUUUGAAGACUUCUGGAUAUGUUUACUGCAUCCAGACUAUGCAAGCACUGUCUGGUUAGAAAUGCUGUCGCUUGUAUAGACCUCCUUAAAAAGGUCUGCCAAGUCACCACAGAGGCCAUCAGGAAGACUGUGGUGAUUAUUGCCGUCUCCUAUUUCAUGCAAACUCUGUAGCACAGUCAAAACUGCAAAAGCAAUACAUCACUUUCAGAAUGAAACAGCAACAAUAAAAAAUCUCAACAGAUUUGGGAGCUUUUAAUAACAGUUCUUUUCCAGGUAUCAGAAAACUGAAGAGUUAAAUAGAGAGAAUAAAUAGACGUGAAUUUCAUAAAGAUACUAACCAAGAGUAGCGAAAGAUGGAUGUUUCCCAAAAGGUUCAGAGGGUUCAUUUAGUUCAGAUGAUAACUCAUAAUAACUUGGCUAUUUAUCCACAGCUAUCUUUUGAAGUGAGGAAUGUUUUAUCUAAUGCUAUUUGUAUUAAAAUCAGUGAGAGAUCAUUCGCUGAUCUUCUUUACAAAAACUUUUUGUGUGCCAGUACUAUGCCUGACUUCAGCAUUUGAAAAAGAGACGUACAUAGCAAAUGUCAUAGUCAAUACUCACAACUCUGACUAAAUAGUUACAGAUUUUAACAAGAAGUAAAACCACCACAUAAGAUCUGAGAUUACCAACAAACGUGGAUUAUUUUAUUUUACAAGGCCCAAUAAAGAUCACUGGUCUUUUGAAACAGUAGUUGCUUAAUAUUUUGACAAGGCUCUAUAUAAUUAGAAGCCAGAGAAGUAGCCAUAAACUGCUCAUAUGAUAUAUCAAAACUACCUGUAUAAGCACAGGGACGCUUAUGUUUUAGAGGAGAUGGGAAAAAUAAAUGUAGUGAGGUAGCAAAUGCUUUUUCUGUGUAGUGGAAGAAUCAUCUGAGACCUCAUUUUAUUUCUCUUGCAUUCAGCAGUUUAAUAUUUCAAGAAGGGGUCAUUCAAAGGUUCCAGUAUCCCGAAGACCUUCACUCAUUUGCUUAUUGGUAACAUUUCUGAAACAUUUUAAAAGGUUUAAAAAAAAUAUUCUCAGGAUGACAAAAAAGGAAUAAAAUCUCAUCUUUCUACUGUCAUAAAAAAACCCAAACAGAUAAAUACACAAAUGAAAUGCAAAAUCCCAGUAGUUCUACAAGGGCAUUUAUGUUUUCUUUUUAUGGCCUAGUUCAACUCUUGCACUAUUGGAGCUAGCUAUUGUAAAUGCCAUUCAUGUGAAAAACAUCAGAAAGAGCUGAGAAUGCACUACCUGUCUUUUAUUUCUGGGAUGUUUCCUGUUGAAAUGAAAUAAAUACUACAAGUAAAAUGCCCACUUGAGCCUUACCACUUUUGUAAACAUUCCUAAAUGACGUGCUAAGGAUUGUUUACACAAGCUGUGCCAGCUGCUUAAUGGUUAAAUACUUUACCUUUCUUCACACUGAAGCAGCAGGGAAGGAGGCAUAUAGGGGAGGAACAUGCAAUUAUGAGCAAUCUAAUUGAUCAUCCAAAGACCAUCUGGAAAAUCUGCCUGCCGAUGGACAAACUGCUGGUGGAGUGCGUUUAACACUUAACACCCAACACUAUGCUCUGUUCAAGCAAUUGACAGACUUAGGGGAAAACUAUCCGGCACCAGCUUGGCUUUCCCCACUGCUCAAACACAUGAACCUACCUUUUCAGAAUUGUUUCUUUACCUGAAGUAAGCUAAAUGUACUGACCAACUAUAUUUUGCAAUAAAUUACCCAGAUAAGCUAACUAAGCAUUUCAUACCUGCGUUGACUAUUCUUACUGCUUUUUAUGGAGUUGAAUCCUCUUAAAUCAUAUGUUAAUUAUAUUGUUGAGAUUUACAGUGUUGUUACAGUGGUAUUUUCAACUCAGAGAAUCUCAUUUUGGGAUUUUUAAUAAAAGUAGCUACUCAAUUACUUAUCAGGAAAUGGAAAUAUAUUUUCAUGUAUAUGAUUUUUUCCCUUAAAUGAGUCAUCUCAGCUUAGCCCACAACAUUAAGGUUUUCUUCCACAAAGUACUUAAACAGAAGUGUAUAUUUAAACAUGUGACCAGUGGUACAGUUUCAAAGAAUGGCUCAUGCUCCUACGCUUACAAAUGUUGAAAGGCCUUGUUGAAUCAGCAGCUUCAGCAAAAUUGGCAAAGUCACAUUUCUCUGGAUCACAUUUAGUUACUUUAUAUAUUUUUUUUUUUAAUUUUUUUUUUUAGAGCAUAGGUCUUAAAAACAGGAAAACCAGUGGGAAAAAUCCAUGAUUCAACUGGUAUUUAACAGAGAACAUAGUGAUUAUAGCCAAAUAUAGAGUCCUGUGAAACCAUGCCUGUUAGUAGAUAAUUACUCCCCAAAACAGAAGACGCACGCCUCACCAGGCACGUCGUGCAUUUUUAAACCUAUUUUUUUCAAACAUACAUUCAGCCUUACCUACAGCUUGCAUUACCAAGCAUACAUGAGUGUAGUAAAUACUCAGCCACCCAACACUGAUCACAAUAAAGCUAGAGUUUUAUUGAAAGAUAGUAAGGUACUGCUACACGAAAGAAUUUUCCAAUACAGUAGCACUGAAUGAAAGGAGAGUCAUGAAGCCUUUGGGAUAUAUAUUUUAUUUUUCCAUUGCAUUUGGUUCCUUUCAGAACGUAAACAAAGGGUUCACAGUGCUGUUUGGCUGUCUCCUGCUUCUUCAGGCAAACAGAUUUCUGUUUGCUUUAAUGUGACGUAUAUGCGUUCAUUGUUUUCACUAAGAAGAGGUUUGUGUUUUGACACAAACACUGCAGAGGAAUCUGCAAGGGAUCAAAAGGAGGGAGCCUUCAUAGUGCUGUAGGCAGGAUAUGAAGCAUUUCAUUCACUUCAGUGUUAACUUGACUGUUCUAGGCCAAAUCCUGACCAUGCUGAUGGUCAGUGGAUGGAAAAGUUCUGGCUUCCAGAGCCAGAAUUCAUCUUAGAAACUGACCAGGAUUCCUGUGUGGGGGUACACCCUUUCCAUUCCUGAUAUUAAAAUAGUGUGGCAUCAUUUUCAGUCCUGGCUAGAAUUACCUUGGAUGUGGUCCUGUGCGACCUGCAGGUGUUCAGCUUUGAAAAUUCUGUCUGCUCCUCCCAUGUGCAGCUACACAAAAUCUUAGAUGAAGCCCAGUUUCUUCCUUUCUUUCUUUCUUUCUUUCCAAAUGUCAGCAAAACCUUCUUAGGUCUCCCUUGAAAGACAGAAAAUUUCCAAAUUAAGCUGCAAACUAAAGAGAUAUAUUUCAUGAUCACUGGAAGGACUUAAGUGCUCUAAUUUUGACAGUGUUUGCAAAGAACUUUGCAUAUAGAUCAGUGGAUGAACAACUCAUCUCAUCCACUUUCAAACUGCAUGCAUUUGCCUUCUGCUGAUCUGUCCCCAUGACUACUGAAGGGGAGACUAGGCUGAUACUAGGCCGACUCAAGGGGACAAUCAAUCCUUCCCUUGGGCACAUUUUAAAUACUGAUGCUCAGAUGCCCAGGCAGGACUUGGUAUAAAAACAAGCAUCUUCCAGUGGCCAGGCCCAGGGUUCUCUCUGUUUUGAGAAAACACAAGUUAAUUUGCACACAGAUAAUUUGCUGUAUAUAGAGAAGCAUAAGUGCUUUGGCAUAGUUGUGUGGGGGACCUAAUCCAAGGACCAUUGCUGCUGAGUGGCCAGCAUAUCGUACCUUUUUGUGCCUUCCUAUGUUGGAGUUUCUGGUCUCUAAGUCCUCCUAUGAUCAUGAAAAUACACUUUAAAACUUAAGAAGAAAUGCCAAAAAUAUAUAAAUUUAUAAACUAAACCUAACCCACAAUAAAAAAAGUAGGUCCCAAACUAAUAAGUUGCAAAUACAGUGCUCUGUAUGUGUGGGAGGGACAGAUAAUUGAGGGCUGUGUUAUGAUUUUGAACCCGUGCUGGAUACUUGUGGUACAUUUUCUCUUUCAAAGAGUAUGUGAGAGGUGUCAGCCUUCCAAUAAAACACUAAAUAUUUUAAAACAACAACACCCCUCGUCUGGCGGCUGUAUUUCAAAGAACAAACAUCAGUCCAUUGUCUGGCUUCUGCCGUCAUCUUGUACAUGGAGAAAGCCAAAGACUCCAAAUAAUUUUGUGGCCUCGGGCAUCAACAAUAAACAAUGUAUAUUUGAUGUGUUGGCCUAAUUUCUGCCCAUUGAAUCUGCCAUUUUAAAUCUGUUUGCACGCUAUUUUUAUUUAUUUUUUACAUUCAAGGUCUUUGUAGGCCCUGUGAUCUUUCUCUGCACCUUUCUCAAGUGGUACAGUUUCAUAUUUAGGAUGAUACUCUGAGGAACAGACAAUCAAAAUACAAUUUUACACUAAAAGACCAGAACAUUGUAGAAAUGGUUUUUGCAGAAUUCUGCACUUUCAACCUGGUGAACAUGGCUAUUUGUACACUUUUUAAUUACAUUAGCAAAUGUUUGGUCCUGAAAGCAGGGGAAAGGAAAUAUAAUUAUACUGACAGAGGAGACAGAGAAUAUUUAUUGAUUACAGUUUCUAAAGUUCUGCUAGAUUUCUGCUAUGAAAAUUGUUGUCCUGAAGGGAGACUGUAAACCUAUUUUUGAAGAUCAGUAGGUCUUAAGAAGAGCUGUUAUACUUCAGAUAAUUGCUUUAUCCUUUUUCGUAUGAUAUAUAAGCUCUUCUAACACUCGUGGUACCAACAUUUGUUUGUGACUUCUAUUGCACUCAGAGUAGCCAUUGAUUCAGAUGACAGAUCUGCUCUUUGGUCUCUGCAAAGCUGUAUUUUCAGAAGACUAAAUUACUCCUUUUUCCUCCCCAUUCCUCUGAGCUCCUCUCCCUGGGGCUUCACUUUGCAACUCAGACUCAACACAACCAAAGAACCAACUCUUCUCAGAAGAAAGAGUAAUAUGCAGUCUAAAGCAGCAUUAAGUAUACCAUAGUAAUUUAUUAAUGGAAAAAAAGGUUGUGAUUAACAUACAGGGAAUAUUUCAGUGCUGAACCUUGGUAAAGGUAUGACAGGUAUGAAAUUCUCAGCAGUGGCAAUUAAAAAGCUUUAAUACACAAAGAAAACUGUUGAAUGUGAUUUUGUAUUUUAUUUACAAGCUGUGGCAAGUGCCACAUAGUCGAGGCUUCAUCCUCAGAUUAUGUACCUACAUGUACAUUAGAGUAGCUGGCCACAUAAGUGUGCAAGUCAUAAAAUCUAAAAUGCUUAGAAGGAAGUAGCUGAGCCACUACAGUAGGAAAUGCCACUAGGGCUACACUGAGGAGGUAAAAUUUCCAGCUAGAAGGAAGAUAAGGG